rnacentral:lncRNA from 1 species
GAGUUACUGAGAUGGAUGUUUCUUUGAGGCUUUGGCUUCAUCUCCCCAAUUAUUUCCCAAAGCACAGUUCUAAUUUACAUGUAUGAGCAUAGAGUAUACGUUUAUUGUUUCUUUAUUGUUGUUGCUGCUUGAGAACGGUCUCACUGUGCAACCUUGGACAGCCUGGAACUCGGAGAUCCACCCACACCUGCCUCCUGAGUGGUUGGGCCUUCCUUUCUGAAUGCUGAGCACUGAUCCCAGGGUCUACCACAUGCACGGCAAGCAGUUGGCCCUUACUGACACCCAGCUCUGUUACACUUUUUUUAUUGUGGGGAUGAAAACGUGCCACUUUGACAUAGUGAUUAUUUGGGGCUAAAGGCAUUUGAAAAACAGCAGGUAUAAGAAAAGUCCUUGACUUUUCUUUCUCUUUCUAAAAUCAGGAAGUCAGACUCCCCCUGGAAAGGUGUCUUCCUGUACCAAGGGAAGGAAGGGAAAAGGAAGGCAGGCUUCCAACCAGAGACGGCAGUCAACGCUGAGGAAGCUGACCAAGCAAUACUCUUGUCUCUCUUGUGUUCAGUGACUUCUUGAGCCAUACUUUAUCUAGUCAUGCUUCACAGCUCACUUUCGUCCUGCCUGCUAUAAGCAUUGCACUCUAAGUCCUGUGGAUCUUCAUUUUUCCUCAGGGCUCCUAGGCACACGCAAAAGUUACUAUAUAAAAUCUGAGUGCACUCAGGUUAACUUACCUUGUGUCAUUUCUAACCAGAGACCUAUAGGGUGGAAGAGAAAUUUCACCUUUUUGACAGUCUACCAAAACUUUAAAAGCAUAUUAUUGUUGUUGUUGUUGUUGUUAAGGUGGUUGUGUGGGGGUGUAUAUAUACAAUGUGUGGAGACCAAAGGAGGAUGUGUCCUGCUUGCUGUUUCUUUGCUUUGGUUCUUUAAGACAAAUAAGUGAGACAGCUCACUGAUUCUGGACCUAGGCUACCACACAUGUGCACACAUGGCCAAACCUAGCUUUUUACGUGCGUGCUGGGACCUGUGCUCAGGCCCUCAUGCUGAUUAAGCAGGCACUCUUACUCCCUGAGCCGUCUCUCCCGCACUUUAAAAAUAGACGUUUUAAAGCAUUUGGCUCAUCCAUGCUCACACAGGGACUCCAGGCACUCUGAUUUGAUGCAUUCAAGUCCUUGUACUAAACACUCACAGGCAAGCGAGAAUUAAGACUUUCUGUCACAAGCAGCUGCGUAAGGGACCUUUUGCUCUAGUCAGAGAAAAUCAUAAGUAGGCAAGGAGCUGAAUGCAGUACCCCCUUACUCUUGGCCGGCCUAGAUUCUAGAGGCUUGUGGGCCGAGCUUUUGAAUGUAGCGUCAUGUUGGUCUAGGCUCUGAAAUCCUCAGAGCUUACUGAUUUGCGCUUCCAAAGCCCGAGAUUUGUGUUGUAGACCUUGAGAAGUAGGGGCUCACAGCUCCUGGGCAACUCACUAAAACACCGCAGCCUCCUUUAAGCUGCAGGCUGAGUGAGCUGAGGGCUUAAGGCAUUGGGGGGCUUGAAGACUUACAACCUCAGAGCCACUCUCUAGUCACCUGGCCUCAGCUGUGACUGGAUGCCUUAGAGCUAAACCCCAUGUUUCAUCUGCUCAUAGUGUUGACCACUCGUGUCACUGGUCACCAAAAUACCAUUUAGAAGAGACUUUGACUGAGAUCUGAUGUUGCAGCUGAAAAGGAACUAUCUUUAUUCGGGAGGGACACUUUUCAGACUGACCUGCUAAGACUGAAACCAGCCUGCUUCUGUUUUGUAGCCAGAAGAGGGGAGUGGCUGGCUUGUGUGCAGCUUCUAGGUGCACCAGUCAGAAGUCUCACAUAUGUACUAUGGAUUGAGUUUCUAGAAAGAAAGAAGAAGAAGGAGGAGGAA